rnacentral:lncRNA from 1 species
AAUUAUCUCAGCUAAACUUCCAAAAUACCUGAAUAUGCACACAUGGUACAGGGAUUAAAGUGCGUACUUCUUACUCAGUGGUAAUAAGAGAGAAUAAUAUCCGAGCGAUAAGAAAACACAUAUGGGCACACUAAAAUGCUAUAAAAGACAGUACAACCCGUCUCGAAAAUCGAAAUACUGUGAAAAUCCUUUAGAAAAUCUCAAGAUCAAUUCAAAAUCUCUUUUAAAAAGUCUCUGUUACAAAUAUCUUUUUUUUCUUUUUCAACGGCCAAGCAUAUGAAUACUAUAUCAGAUAGAACAAGUCGGCUCAUACGUUUGCCCAUUGGGCACUGCACUCCUUAACAUAUAACACCAGAGUAUCUGGUCAACAAGGCAAGUAACAGUAUGUAUGCCAAAAAUAUAUGGGUGCUAAAUGUCGUUCCACUUAGUACAAACAGGAAUGAAUGCGUGAAUGCAUUGCAAUGCGCAUGACCGCCACGGUGCGUAGCCCGAUCCAUUUGGGUAUCCUGGACUCACUAGGGGUGUGUGCAGGCUCCGGAGGGGCUCCUACAGCCCAAGCGCUAUAAUACUGCAGCAUGCAGUCCGAUCCAUAUAAUAUACUAAUGCGGCGUACAGUCCGAUCCGUAUAAUAUACUACUGCGGCAUACAGUCCGAUCCAUGAAUGUAUAUGUAUAUACUGCUGCGGCGUGCAGCCUGAAUUAUAUCUCAGUCCAGCAAUGCACAUAUGCCCCUUGGGCAAUAGUAAAAUAGCAGUUCUCAGCUCAAAACAUCUGUAAAAUAUCAUUUAAGUUUUGAAAUCUUGGAAAAAUUGCUGAGUUUGCAAAACAGUAUUUAGAACCUUGAACUGUGAUCAAAUAAUAUACAACGUAAUACAAAAUAGUGAUAUCAAACCCAGAAGGAUUCAAUAAUCUGCACGAAGCCCAUAACAUGGCGAUCAGCCCAAAUCAUGAUAGCAUCAAGUAGUUUUCAGUCAGUAUCAAACCCAGAAGGAUUCAAUAAUCGGCACGAAGGCCAUAACAUGGCGAUCAGCCCAAAUCAUGAUAGCAUCAAGUAGUUUUCAGUCAAUCACGCGGUAAAAUCAACAAACGGGACGAACCAAGUUACAAUCCCUAACUGUGCUCUAUCCCACGCUCAUACCUUCACGCAAGUCACCCCAAUACAGCACUAUGAUAUGCAAAUCGGGGCAUUCAAACCCUCAGGAUAUCAUUCCCAAGUAUUACUCACCUCAAACCGGUGAAUUUCCUCGCUCGCGAUGCCUUUGAUCCUCAAAUUGGCCUCCAAGCGUGUCAAAUCUAACCAAAAUCAGUACAAAUAUAUCAUAAUAUACUAAUGGGAUAACACUCAAUGGAAAACAAUCAAAAUAUAACAAAAAUCUUGAAACUAGCAAAACCCGAGCCCUGGGCACGCUUCUCGAAAAAUUACGAAACUUACAUUUCCAGAAUGCUCAUCUCGCCACGAGUUCAUGCGUACCAAGAACUCCCUAUCCGAGCUCAAAUGGCAUAUCAAAUCUCAAUUUGAAAUAUCAAAAAACUCAAGCCCUAGUUUCUUCAAUUAUACCAAAAUUCAGAUAAUUAAUUGAUGAUUCUUCAAUAAAAUCGUGUAUUAAGCUCAUAAAACUACCUCCAAUCAAUUCCCAGUCAAAACUCUUCAAAACUCUCGACAAAAGCUCCCAAGCUCGCUCAAAAAUGGUGGAAAUGAGCUUAGGUCGUGGACCAAAAUGUUUUUAACAUUCUGUCCGGAACAUUGUAGCACCCUCUAUGCGAUCGCAUAGACAAGUCUAUGCGAUCGCAACUUGCGAUCGCAAUGGAAGUGAUGCGAUCGCAUAGAGGGUGCUACAAUGUUCCGGACAGAAUGUUAAAAACAUUUUGGUCCACGACCUAAGCUCAUUUCCACCAUUUUUGAGCGAGCUUGGGAGCUUUUGUCGAGAGUUUUGAAGAGUUUUGACUGGGAAUUGAUUGGAGGUAGUUUUAUGAGCUUAAUACAUGAUUUUAUUGAAAAAUCAUCAAUUAAUUAUCUGAAUUUUGGUAUAAUUGAAGAAACUAGGGCUUGAGUUUUUUGAUAUUUCAACGGCCAAGCAUAUGAAUACUAUAUCAGAUAGAACAAGUCGGCUCAUAAGUCUGCCCAUUGGGCACUGCACUCCUUAACAUAUAACACCAGAGUAUCUGGUCAACAAGGCAAGUAACAGUAUGUAUGCCAAAAAUAUAUGGGUGCUAAAUGUCGUUCCACUUAGUACAAACAGGAAUGAAUGCGUGAAUGCAUUGCAAUGCGCAUGACCGCCACGGUGCGUAGCCCGAUCCAUUUGGGUAUCCUGGACUCACUAGGGGUGUGUGCAGGCUCCGGAGGGGCUCCUACAGCCCAAGCGCUAUAAUACUGCUGCAUGCAGUCCGAUCCAUAUAAUAUACUAAUGCGGCGUACAGUCCGAUCCGUAUAAUAUACUACUGCGACAUACAGUCCGAUCCAUGAAUGUAUAUGUAUAUACUGCUGCGGCGUGCAGCCUGAAUUAUAUCUCAGUCCAGCAAUGCACAUAUGCCCCUUGGGCAAUAGUAAAAUAGCAGUUCUCAGCUCAAAACAUCUGUAAAAUAUCAUUUAAGUUUUGAAAUCUUGGAAAAAUUGCUGAGUUUGCAAAACAGUAUUUAGAACCUUGAACUGUGAUCAAAUAAUAUACAACGUAAUACAAAAUAGUGAUAUCAAACCCAGAAGGAUUCAAUAAUCUGCACGAAGCCCAUAACAUGGCGAUCAGCCCAAAUCAUGAUAGCAUCAAGUAGUUUUCAGUCAAUCACGCGGUAAAAUCAACAAACGGGACGAACCAAGUUACAAUCCCUAAUUGUGCUCUAUCCCACGCUCAUACCUUCAUGCAAGUCACCCCAAAAAUCCAGGCCCUAAAAAAUCUAUUACACGAUCAUAGGAAAUCCCACGCAAUCAAAGAACAUAGCCCAAAGAACUUACGCGAUCGCACUAACCAAAUGCCCAAGCAUACGCGAUCGCAAGCCCCCUUCGUGCCAUCGUAGAGAGAAAAUUCUGAGCCUUCUCCAAUUCAUUCUAUGCGAUCGUAGCAGUAGGCUCGCGAUCGCAAUGAACAAUUUUUCUCUGCAAAAUUUCUGCUGCAUUUUUCCAACUUAAAAAUACCCGUUAGCCAUCCGAAAUCACCCCGAGGCCCUCGGGACCUCAACAAAAAGCACAUAUAUGUUUAAUAAUUUAUUCAAAAUUGAUCGAGCCAUAAAAACAAUAUCAUUAACAUCAAAAUCCUCAAAUAUCAUAAAAUCAAGGCCUAAGUUUUCAUUAAACUUCUGAAACUCACAUUCGAUCAAAAACCCAACCAAACAACGUCCGAAUGACCUGAAAAUUUGCAGACAUAUCCAAAAUUACCUAAAGAAGCUAAUGAACCUCUCGGAAUUCCAUUCUGACCCUCGGAAAUCUCACCUAUCAACCGAAAUCCGCCAAAAUUCAAACUUCGAUAAUUCAAGCCUAAUUCUACACCGGACCUCCAAAGUCAAUUCCAAUCACACUCCUAAGUCACAAAUCAUCCCCCUAAGCUAACCAAAUCACCGAAAUUCACAUCCGAGCCCUCUAACCACAUAGUCAACUUUCGGUUGACUUUUUUAAUACAAAUUUUCUUCUAAGAGGAAGUGGGCCUUAUUUUCAACCCAAAACCAAUUCAAUUACACCCGAUAAACGCUAAUACAAACAUUGAGACAUGAAGAAACACCAUAAGGGAGAAACGGGGUGGUAACUCACAUGACGGCAUGUCAGGUCAUCACAGGUAAUCAAAGUAAGGUAACCGGCUCAAAGUGUUUACGAAGGAUUGAUGGUGUUAGAAUAGCGGGAGUGAAAGCCUUCGUCAUCGCAAAUAUGCAAAGACAUCGCCGGAAUGAUUUUAGACAUAGUACGUUUUUAUUACAUCUACAUUCUCAACUACUUCGGAAUCAUUUUUCGAUGUCACCCAGAUACAAUGCUCCUCUUGGCAAUAUUUCCAAUGGUGUAUGGAUCAUUCUGAUUGGGCGCAAACUUCCUUUUAAUUCCUGGUGGGGAAGAACAAUGCGACUUUACACCAGUUGCCCUAGUUCAAAUUUCAUAGGCGUGGGCCAUUCUUUGUUGGUACAACUGUCCGUGACAAACUGCAGUCAUCUGUUUCAAUUAAGGUCAACGUUCCAUACGAGUCUAGACCCACUCACUGUUCUCAAACUCUGCUUUAGUGACGGACCUUUCCCAAACGACAAACCAAUUGUCCUCUGUUGUUCCGAUUCUUUUCCUUUAUUUUCUCAAAUUUAAAUUCUUUGUAUUUCAAGAUUUGAUUUAUUAUUUCAAAGUAUGAUAGAGUUCUUGGGAUCUGGGCAUGAAGUCCACAAGCAUGUCAUCUUAUUUAAAGCUGCAUUACUAUAGAAAGAGAAAAAAACAUAGCAAGCUCUGAAAAGAUAAAGAAAAUGAACGAUGAAAUAUUGAUUUCAUUUCUUAGAAUUUGGGAAGAUAACAGGAUUGAUAUUCAGGAAUUUAAAGACAGGAAACUAAAGAAAACAUCCGAGCCACACCCUAGGAUGACUCGCGAUGCAGAAAAAGUGGCAGAACAAGUCUACUAGGACUCCCACCUGACCAGGAAUAGUGUAGCCUUCCAGUUUUGAAGCUUGGCGCUUGGUCCCACGUAUGACACCUCAGCAGUGCUGGUGCCCUCUCCCAGCUGAACUAUGUGAGUUUCAUAAAGCAUUUUCCUCGUCGCCCCACGUAUUCCCUUACUCUCUUCAGCCACAAAAACCUCAUCAUCUUCCUCUUCACUGUACUUGGGCUUCUGUAGUAUGCGUCCAAUAACCACUGGCUCAUUCAGUCGAGGUGGUUUGAUUUUCCCCAUACCACAUAGGCUUUCUUGGGUACAUCAAUUUCCAUUUUUGGUUUUAUUUGGGUGAUAUUACUCUUAUUUUCCCCUUUCUCUUGUUGCGGGGUUGCCCUGGGCUUCCUUUCUUCAUCAGCAAUAGCAAUUAUGGCCUUAAGCGCCGGAUCAAAUUCUUUGUCCUCACAAAUCAUACUAAUUAACGGCCCGUUGUUGUGAGUGGGAAGUGGAUUAUUGGUCACAUUUGAGACAUCCUCAUCCUUCAACAUGAUUCUCCCUUGCUCUAUUAAAUUCUUCACCGCUUGUUUCAGAGUCCAACAGUCAUUUGUAUCGUGCCCUUCUACCCCUAAAUGAUAGGCACAUCUGACACCCCGCUGAUAUGAUGGUGAUUCUGGGUUUUGUCGUUUGGAGGUAUAGGUUGCAACAAAUUCAUCUGGACAAGCUUAGGGAACAAGGUGGAGUAGGGUUCACCGAUUGGUGUAUAGUUGGGUCUCCUGGGUGAUUCCCAUGGACGGAAGUUAUUCUGGGGAAGUCGAGAAUUAUAGUGGUUCUGGUGGGGAGGCUGGUUUCUUGGGAAUGGAGGUUGAUUUCUAUUAGCUUGUGGUUGCGGUCAGCCGAAAGGUUGAGCAUUCAUAACCGCAUAAGGUGGUUGAUCAUAGGCCAUAUCGGGAUGAGGAUAGUGGUGUUGAGGGUUUCUUUCGGAGAAUACUGGUCUAGGGGCCCGGUAUCUUCCUCCCCCAGAUACCACCAUGGUUGUUUCUUCUCUUACCCUAUUCUUUUCCAUUCCUCCAGACCCACCUUGGAUGGCUUGGGAGGUUGCCCUGAUGGCUGACUGACUCAAAAAUCUACCCAUUUUCAAACCAUGUUCUACCAUGUCACCAAUUUUGAUGGCCUCUGCAAAAGGCUUUCCCAUGGCUAACAUCAUAUUCUGAAAGUAUUUGGGCUCUUGGGCUUGCAGGAAGACAGUGACAAAUUCUAUUUCUUCCAUGGGAGGUUUCACCCUUGAUGCUUGCUUGCGCCAUUUGAUAGCGUAUUCUCUGAAACUUUCUGAGGGUUUCUUCUUCAAGUUAGAUAAAGAAUUAUGGUCUGGCGCGAUGUUAAUGUUAUACUGAAACUGCCUUACAAUAUCUCUAGCAAGAUCAUCCCAAAUGUGCCAACGUGAGACGUCUUGAUCCAUAUACCACUCCGAAGCAAUGCCGAUUAAGCUUUCCCCAAAAUAUGCCAUCAACAAUUCUUCUUUGCCACUGGCCCCCCUUAACUGAUUGCAACACUUCUUCAAAUGAGCAAUGGGGUCGCCAUGUCCAUCAUACUUUUCAAAUAUUGGUGUUUUGAACCUUGACGGCAAAUGUACAUGCAGAAACAUACACAAAUCUGUAUAGGAGACACUCUUUUUCCCGCUCAAACCUUGCAUGUUCUUUAAGCUCUGUUCAAGACUUCUCAUUCUCCUGGCCAUCUCAUCUUGCUCUAGAGCUUUAGGGCCUUUGUCUUUCCCCGGUGUAAACUCGUAUGGUGGUGGCUGAGGGAAAGCAUAUGCGGAGUAUGGAGGAAGUUCUGGCUGGUAAGUAGUAGUUUGAUAAGUGAAGGCCGAUGGAUCAAACACAGGCCUUGGGACUGCAGGUUGUGUUGUAGCAGAAGAUGGUGGGCCAUUGAAGAUGUUAGGAGCUAUCUUGGGUAUGAAUGCCUGGGGCCGGACCUCAGAAGUUGCUCCCGCAAAAUGAACGGAUAUAGUAGGUUGUCCUACCGGGACGUUCAGGUGGCUGAUGGGGAUGUUAAAGGCACCCGUUGGUCUUGGGAACAACUCGGUAAAUCCAGGGAUGACACUCGGGGGUUCUUUUCCAUUUUUCCGUUCGUCCCACAUCUCCAUUACCCUCAGACGUAAGAUUAUAUUUUCUUUCGCCACUUCAGAAUCUGAGGCCGGGACGCCCGAGAGUGGGCAAUCUUCUGAAAUAGGGAUUGUUGGCAGGGUCAUUUCUGACGAUAUCUCUGUACUACCUUUAGAUAUGGUAGAGUAGUAGUGCGAAGCCAGUUUACCACAUAACCAACCACCUGUUUCUAUAAAUCUGGGCUCUUAAAAUGACAGCAGUGAACGGUUAGUUUUGAGACAAAUAGGUAAUCACUCAUCAACGACUGGAUGUGUCAUCCCGACUUUUCUUAUGUUUUCCUUGCUUGUUUUUUUUCUGUUUUUCUCAUUUUUCUUCUUUUCUUUUUUUUUUCCAUGGGUUUUCUUCAAUUUUCUUCCGCUCUUUGUUUCUUUUGGUUUUCCUUUAUUUCCUUCCCUCUCUUUUGUUUUACUCUUAUGGCUACGGUCGAAUCUGAUGAGGAUUACCUACGUAUUGCGACCCCGCACGAAUCAGACCAAGCGUAGUUCAUGCAAAUAAGGUAAAGAAACUAACACUUUAUAUGGAUUUUUGAAAGAAAUUCUUUAAGGAAAAUAUUUUGAUUUUGAUUUCUAAUUUUUAUUUUUGUUUUUGAAAGAAAGACUUCAAAUUUUCCUUUCCAAAAUUUGUGUAUUUUCUUUUGUUUUCUAUUUACAAAAGACAUCUAAGGAGUAUUUUAUUGAUAUAUUUGACCUAAAAGGAAAAGUGGUUAUUCUUCAAAAAUUUCUUUGUUUAGAAAAACAGGGACUCUGCUUUGCCGAUACGGCCUUUCAGCACUCUGGAGGAAGAUUUUAAGGUUGUGCCCGCAAACUAUUUACAAAUGACUCAGGGUGGCUGUUCUUGCAAAAACAGCCUUCCGAUGCCUUUUCGGGAACAUUCGGCUUGCUUUAAACAAGAAUGGCAUCACCCGACUUAGUGAUGACAAAAAUUAAAAUUUUAAUAUUUUUUGGGCUAUUUUUGCAAAAUGGAGGUUGGACCCGACGAGGGUUGCCAACGUAUCUCACAUCCAGUGAGAAUCAAACCAGCGUAGUUCGGUAAGAUUGGGAAUAGAUCAAAUUUAUUUUUUGUUGGAAUUUUUGAAAGAAAUGCUUUAAAAGAGGAAAUGAAAUAUAUUUUUUUUUUUAUUUUUGACUUUGAUUUUUGUUUUGCUUUUUUGAAAGAAAGACUUCUGAAAAAUCUUUUUUUUUUAUUUGAACUUGGGAAUUUCAAAAGUAAAAAGAAAAUACUUUUUUUUAAUUUUCAUUUGUUUUACCUUUUUAUAAGGAAGAAAAAAAAUAUUUUUGGAUUUUGGAUAUUGCCUCUUAAUUUUUGAAAGAGGGACUUUUAAGAAAAUAUUUUGGAUUUCUGCGUUUUUAUUUAUUUACAAAAGUACUUCUAAAGAAAAGCGAAAAUAUUUUUUGACUUCAACUUUUCAACAAUUCUUUUUGACAUUUACGUAAGAAAGACUUUUAAACAAGGAAAAGAAUUUUUUCUAUUCUUUUUAUUUUUGAUUUUUUUUUCAAAUUUUCUAAAGAAGGAACAAAGGAAAAUAUAUUUUUGACUUUUUUUAAAAAUUGGGGUCGGAACCGAUGAGGUUUGCCUACGUAUUUGAAAUCAGGUGGGAAUCAGAUCCGUGUAGUUCGGUCAAAUAAGCUAACUAAUUUUGAGACAAUAAAUCUUUUUCAAACCAUUUUUUGACUUUUUGGUAAAUAAACUAAAAAACAUUUUUUCUUUCUUCCAAUUUUCAAAACUUCGGAAGAGUUCCGACGGCACUUCGGCAUUGGGUUUUCUAAACUAAUCAGUUAACUCUCCGAUUUGCUAUUUUUCUAUUUUUUCUCAUUUUUUUAACAUUUUCGAGAUUCAAAAAGCCGGUCAACAUGCAGGCCGAAACAAGUAAAUGCACAGAAAAAUAAGUAUGAUGCAUCAGGAUGGUCUUUUUUAUUUCAGGUUGUUAAUCCAAGACGGACCCAACCCCUGUGUUGAGUCCUCUAAGUCAGAAUCCACAUGAUGCAGAUAAGCGUUCCUACUAGGUAUUCGGCAUAAAGUUGAGUUAUUCUAGGUUCAGAACCUGAGUUUUGUUCUAGACCUGGCUUACCCGAGCGGAUAGCUAGAGCCGAGGGGGAGGCAUCAAUCCCGGAAUACAGAAGCUUCGCCGGCUUUGCAACUUAUCCAAACCUCGUUCUAAAUUGGGAAUUGGACACUAUACAAAAAAGAAGUCGUACGAAGUACACCCUUCUUCAUGAUUUAGAAGGCUCAGAGAGAAGAUGGGAUUCAGCACAAUUUAUAUACAGUUCAAAUAAUAUCAAAGCAGCAAAACAUUUAGCACAUGUAGCAUAAAACAUGUAGGAAAAUCAGAUAAAGCAAAUUACAACAAUUAUUCUAAGCUCGAAUUCUGAACCCUGAACAAAACGUUCUGGGUUCUUUCCCCCAUUCAAGCCGCCAGAGCUGUCACACCUCCUUUUUACACACCUAACCCAAAGGAUAAUGUAUAAGGAAAUUUUUUCAUUUAAAGUAACAUUCUUCGAAUUGGGAUUAUUUAUUUAUUUAGAGUCGCCACUUGGGAUAGGUUUGGCUUUUGGUUUCCCAAGUCACCAGUUUAUCUUGAAUCCCAAAUCGAGUAAAUUUCGACUUCCCAAAUGGAGUCUGCGAACUAGAAAUUCUGAAUAAGGAAUUCUGUUGACCCGAGGGAAGGUGUUAGGCACCCCUGGACCCCGUGGUUCUCGCACGGUUGCUUAAACAAUAAUAAUUGGCUAAAAUCUGAUUUUAAUACAUUUUCAAACUUAUAGUGCAAUUUUAAAUUAUUUACCGCUUUUAAUUAAUUUUAGAAGAUUGAACGUUAUUUAAGAUAUGGUUUCGGAUCACGUUACAUGAAAUGCACCGGGAUCCUCAACAUAUUUUAUUCAACGCUUUGGGGAUUUAGAUUUGGGUCGCAUGAAAUGCACACCAGAAAUUAAGAUGAUAGAUUUAUUAAAAGUACACGCUUAAAGAAACUAUGCAUUUUUGACUUUGCGAGGGCCAUGAAAUUUGCUGCCUCAGUUAUUAAGGAUAAACAAGAUUAAUUAAACGAGGGCCAUGCAAUUGAGAUUUUUGUUCGACACGACACACCUCAAUUCAUUCUAUCAAAAAGUUUCUAAACUAACUCAUGAGGGCCAUUAAUUGUAUACAUGGGUGUUAUUUACAAUGGCAAUUUAUAACAAACAAAAGCUUCAUUUCAAGCAAAAAAUCAAAUAGCAAAUUGCUAAUGACAGCCAACUUGGUGACAAAUUAUACCUCAACUCCCAUGUUAAAUGGACCAAAUUACAAUACAUAAUUGAUUACCAACGUCUCACGUUCUCCAAGAAAACUGGAAAACUCAUUUCCGAAGUUAGUCUCAAGACUACUUGCAACCAUUUUAGGUUUAUUAUUUUGGAUUUAACACUCUUCGAAUAGUAGCACAUGUCAGACAAUUAUGUAAUCAAAGCAGUUUUCUCCUAAAACAAAUAAGGAAGAGUCAACAGGCCAACGAGCAAGCUAUACAGACCUCCUAGAAGGUCUACAUAUGCAGAAAUGCAAAAGAAACUUCAUGAAAAUUCCGUAGAGAUGCCACAGGUAGAAACUUGAUUUCAUAUAUAAAAAUUAUUGAAGAGCAGGUGUUUCUUCUAAAAAACAAUAAAUAACUUAGACAGAUUUGAGCAGCAAAAAUCACUGGACAUCAAAUUCCGAUUAGCAAAAAUCGAGCCAAACUUACAAAAUCACAUAAAGAUUCAACAAUUUAUCACUCAAUACAUACAUAAUACAAUGAAGAUCUGAAACUUACCUAUAUCGAACAACGCAGUGGCGCUAAAGUGAGCCCAAAUAAAGAUCGAAAAUCAAUCCAAGGGGGUUUGACGGCAGUCUAAGUAAUAGAACAACAAUUUCAACAAUCAACCAGCUUUUAGAUCCUGAGAGGAGGAAUUUAAACUUCGAAACUUCAGCAGCCAAGUCCCCUUUUAAAUCUUCUCCAAAAUUCAGUUUUCCUUCUGUUUUGGGGUUUUUGUGAUUUUUAAAUCUGCAUUUUUUGUGUUGACCUUUGAAUUUUAGACCUGUUUUCCAUCGAAUUUGUGUGCAUUUACAAUUUUUCCCUUCGCUUCCUAAAUCACAUGUGUGUGUGAUUUAGAGGAAACUAGAGCAAAAGAUUGUUUUUCUUAUUCUUUUUUUUUACCUGUAACUAAGAAGGAAGAAGAAGCAGGGGUCUGUUUCUUUUUUUAACCC